rnacentral:rRNA from 1 species
AUUGAACGCUGGCGGCAUGCCUUACACAUGCAAGUCGAACGGCAGCACGGGUGCUUGCACCUGGUGGCGAGUGGCGAACGGGUGAGUAAUACAUCGGAACGUACCUUAUCGUGGGGGAUAACGCAGCGAAAGCUGUGCUAAUACCGCAUACGCCCUGAGGGGGAAAGCGGGGGAUCGCAAGACCUCGCGCGAUUAGAGCGGCCGAUGCCUGAUUAGCUUGUUGGUGGGGUAAAAGCCCACCAAGGCGACGAUCAGUAGCUGGUCUGAGAGGACGAUCAGCCACACUGGGACUGAGACACGGCCCAGACUCCUACGGGAGGCAGCAGUGGGGAAUUUUGGACAAUGGGGGCAACCCUGAUCCAGCAAUGCUGCGUGAGUGAAGAAGGCCUUCGGGUUGUAAAGCUCUUUUGUCAGGGAAGAAACACCGGCUCUAACACAGUCUGGGAAUGACGGGACCUGAAGAAUAAGCACCGGCUAACUACGUGCCAGCAGCCGCCGUAA